CGACUAAAGGCAAAUUUUCGUGACUGUACCAAGUGAGGCUGAAGGUAAUUGAAGAACGAUGACAUUACCAACCAUUUUGACUUGAUGGAUAACAAACGUAAAUACAUAGUUAUACAUGUAUACACGAUCGUUUUACAUAGUAAAAAGAAAUGGCCAGCCACGCGAAGAAUGGAUGAAUGACGGAUCACACACAUGUAUGUACGUUAGAUCAGAUUCGCGGAAUGGAUAACGUAUUACAUUUUCCACAUUACGAAUGCUGAAAAUGAUACAGACUCUGUCAUACAUGGAGAUGCAAGCAUAAUUAUUAAUUUUCGUAGACGUGAAACGAACAAUCACGAAUGAAACAAUCGCAUCUAUAUUCAAGACAUCGAUAAUGCCAUCGAGAGCUUCUGCGAACGACGAUGCGACGUAUUGGAACGUUAGUUGAAUAUAAUUCGUAUCCUCGUCGUCGUAUUCCUCGUCAAAGAAAUAGUCGUACGUCAUAGGCAAAAAUAUGACCGCGACAUACAUCGCGAUACACAGCAGCGCUAAAAGAAAGAGAUUAUAAACGCAAGAUUGAAAAAUAAACGAUAACCUUUUAGCUAAUAAUGAUGAGAUAUUCGAACACGAUGCGAUCUGGAUUCUGGAAAAUAAGCUAAGCUCGAGAGACGUCGCGCG